GAGUUUGAUCAUGGCUCAGAUUGAACGCUGGCGGCAGGCCUAACACAUGCAAGUCGAGCGGAAACGAGUUAUCUGAACCUUCGGGGAACGAUAACGGCGUCGAGCGGCGGACGGGUGAGUAAUGCCUAGGAAAUUGCCCUGAUGUGGGGGAUAACCAUUGGAAACGAUGGCUAAUACCGCAUAAUGCCUACGGGCCAAAGAGGGGGACCUUCGGGCCUCUCGCGUCAGGAUAUGCCUAGGUGGGAUUAGCUAGUUGGUGAGGUAAUGGCUCACCAAGGCGACGAUCCCUAGCUGGUCUGAGAGGAUGAUCAGCCACACUGGAACUGAGACACGGUCCAGACUCCUACGGGAGGCAGCAGUGGGGAAUAUUGCACAAUGGGCGCAAGCCUGAUGCAGCCAUGCCGCGUGUGUGAAGAAGGCCUUCGGGUUGUAAAGCACUUUCAGUCGUGAGGAAGGUAGUGUAGUUAAUAGCUGCAUUAUUUGACGUUAGCGACAGAAGAAGCACCGGCUAACUCCGUGCCAGCAGCCGCGGUAAUACGGAGGGUGCGAGCGUUAAUCGGAAUUACUGGGCGUAAAGCGCAUGCAGGUGGUUUGUUAAGUCAGAUGUGAAAGCCCGGGGCUCAACCUCGGAAUUGCAUUUGAAACUGGCAGACUAGAGUACUGUAGAGGGGGGUAGAAUUUCAGGUGUAGCGGUGAAAUGCGUAGAGAUCUGAAGGAAUACCGGUGGCGAAGGCGGCCCCCUGGACAGAUACUGACACUCAGAUGCGAAAGCGUGGGGAGCAAACAGGAUUAGAUACCCUGGUAGUCCACGCCGUAAACGAUGUCUACUUGGAGGUUGUGGCCUUUGAGCCGUGGCUUUCGGAGCUAACGCGUUAAGUAGACCGCCUGGGGAGUACGGUCGCNAGAUUAAAACUCAAUGAAUUGACGGGGGCCCGCACANNCGGUGGANCAUGUGGUUAAUUCGAUGCACCCNA
rnacentral:rRNA from 1 species